GACGAACGCUGGCGGCGUGCCUAAUACAUGCAAGUUGAGCGCUGAAGGUUGGUACUUGUACCAACUGGAUGAGCAGCGAACGGGUGAGUAACGCGUGGGGAAUCUGCCUUUGAGCGGGGGACAACAUUUGGAAACGAAUGCUAAUACCGCAUAAAAACUUUAAACACAAGUUUUAAGUUUGAAAGAUGCAAUUGCAUCACUCAAAGAUGAUCCCGCGUUGUAUUAGCUAGUUGGUGAGGUAAAGGCUCACCAAGGCGAUGAUACAUAGCCGAACUGAGAGGGUGGUCGGCCACAUUGGGACUGAGAAACGGCCCAAACUCCUACGGGAGGCAGCAGUAGGGAAUCUUCGGCAAUGGACGAAAGUCUGACCGAGCAACGCCGCGUGAGUGAAGAAGGUUCUCGGAUCGUAAAACUCUGUUGGUAGAGAAGAACGUUGGUGAGAGUGGAAAGCUCAUCAAGUGACGGUAACUACCCAGAAAGGGACGGCUAACUACGUG
rnacentral:rRNA from 1 species